rnacentral:rRNA from 1 species
AGUGAACGCUGGCGGCGUGCCUAAUACAUGCAAGUCGAACGAAGUGGCGAACGGGUGAGUGAUACGUGUGUAACCUGCCCUCCUUUUUGGGAGAAGCCUUGGAAACGGGGUCUAAUACCGAAUAAAGGGGGAUGGGCUCGCGGCCUAUCGGCUUGUUGGUGGGGUGAUGGCCUACCAAGGCGGAGACGGGGAGCCGGCCUGAGAGGGUGACCGGCAACAUGGGGACGGCGUUACGGCCCAGACUACGACGGGGGGCGGCAGUGGGGGAUAUUGCACGAUGGGCGAAAGCCUGAUGCAGCGACGCCGCGUGGGGGUUGAAGGCUGUCGGGUUGUAAACCUCUUUCGCUAUCGAGCUGGUAGGUGGAGAAGAAGCGCCGGCUAACUACGUGCCAGCAGCCGCGGUAAUUC